rnacentral:sRNA from 1 species
UCCGAUGUGCUUUCUCCACAUCCCUGUGUCCUGUUUCUAUUUAGUACCAUUUUAUGAUGCACAGUUUGUUUGCUCUUUGUUUUUCUAUCUUUGAAAAUAAAAUGGCAAUAGGGACAUUAGAAAAGCGGCUAUGAGGAAAUGAUCUUUUUUUCUUAGCAGACAUCCAAAAUUAUGUACAGUGUGUUUUUUCUCCAAUUCUGUUCUCAUCAUUUAAUGUAUUGAGGUUGACUUACACAAAAGCUAAUUUUCUGAUGUGCUUUUUCUUUAGGUGACUCCACCAGUGAUGCAGAAGGAGAUGCUGGACCUGCUGGCCAAGAUAAGUCUGAGGUGCCAGAGACUCCAGAAAUUCCUAAUGAGCUUUCAUCCAACAUCAGAAGAAUUCCUCGGCCUGGGAGUGCAAGACCAGCCCCUCCCCGGGUCAAACGGCAAGACAGCACGGAGGCGCUACCAAUGGAUAGGUCAGGGAUUGGUAAAACCGUUUCAAAUGUGAUUACAGAGUCCCACAAUUCUGACAAUGAAGAGGAUGAUCAAUUUGUGGUGGAAGCUGCCCCUCAGCUCUCUGAAAUGUCAGAAAUUGAAAUGGUAACAGCAGUGGAACUAGAAGAAGAGGAGAAGCAUGGUGGACUUGUGAAAAAAAUUUUGGAGACGAAGAAAGAUUAUGAGAAAUUGCAGCAGUCACCCAAACCUGGGGAGAAGGAGCGAUCUCUCUUUGAGUCGGCAUGGAAGAAGGAGAAGGACAUCGUUUCCAAGGAGAUAGAGAAGCUCCGCACGUCCAUCCAGACCCUGUGCAAGAGCGCACUUCCCCUGGGGAAGAUCAUGGACUACAUCCAGGAAGACGUGGAUGCCAUGCAGAAUGAGCUGCAGCUGUGGCACAGCGAGAACAGGCAGCACGCCGAGGCCCUGCAGCAGGAGCAGAGG